GAAAUAAAUCUGAUGAGUUGUUGCUGGCUCUCUAGAGAGCAUUGUGCACGCUUGUCAUCUUUAUGUCUCCACCUGUGCACAUUUUGUAGACCUGGAUCACUUGUUGUCUUUCCUUGCAUUUCUAGGUCUAUGUUCUUUUUCAUAUAAUCUUAUUGUGAUAUGAUGGACCCUAUAUAAUAUAAACCUAUACAACUUUCAGCAACGGAUCUCUUGGCUCU
rnacentral:misc_RNA from 1 species